GAUGAACGCUCGCGGCAGGCCUAAUACAUGCAAGUCGAACGGGUGGUCGCAAGACCACUAGUGGCGCACGGGUGCGUAACGCGUAACCAACCUGCCCCGAUCUGGGGGAUAGCCCGCCGAAAGGCGGAUUAAUACCGCAUAUACCCGCAGCCUGGCAUCAGGCAACGGGGAAAGAUUUAUUGGAUCGGGAUGGGGUUGCGUGACAUUAGCUAGUUGGCGGGGUAAGGGCCCACCAAGGCGACGAUGUCUAGGGGACCUGAGAGGGUGAUCCCCCACACUGGCACUGAGAUACGGGGCAGACUCCUACGGGAGGCAGCAGUAGGGAAUAUUGGGCAAUGGGCGAGAGCCUAACCCAGCCAUGCCGCGUGCCGAAUGAAGGCCUUCUGGGUUGUAAACGGCUUUUCUCAGGGAAGAAAAAGACCUGGCGAGGUACACUGACGGUACCUGAGGAAUAAGCACCGGCUAACUCCGUG
rnacentral:rRNA from 1 species